rnacentral:rRNA from 2 species
UACGUAGGGUGCGAGCGUUAAUCGGAAUUACUGGGCGUAAAGCGUGCGCAGGCGGUUUGUUAAGUCUGAUGUGAAAGCCCCGGGCUCAACCUGGGAAUGGCAUUGGAAACUGGCAAGCUCGAGUUUGGCAGAGGGGGGUGGAAUUCCGCGUGUAGCAGUGAAAUGCGUAGAGAUGCGGAGGAACACCGAUGGCGAAGGCAGCCCCCUGGGCUAAGACUGACGCUCAGGCACGAAAGCGUGGGGAGCAAACAGG